AUAUAUCAAUCAAAAUCAAUAGUGCUGAAAUCUUACAAGUGUACAGACAUAGUAAUUGAAAAUAAGAGAGAAUUAAAAGAAGAGAAGUUAAAGUCGGUCAGUUGUACAGACAUAGUGAUUGAAAACAGGGCAGAAUCGGAAGUGUCAAGCAAUAAUUUGAAUUCAGUACAGAAGUUAAAGUCGCUUAGUUGUACAGAUAUAGCGAUAGAAAACAGGGCGGAAUCAGAAGGACUAAAGUGUGUUAGCUGCGCAGAUACAGUUAUUGAAAAUGAGUUGGACUCGAGAGGUAUAAA
rnacentral:lncRNA from 1 species